GACGAUUUAGUACACUCAGUGCUUCAAGUGAGCUUUUCUAACAUUGCAUCUUUUUGUUUUUCCUUGAAGGUCUAAGACCAGUUGAGAGGACAACUACAGAGGAGGACCAGGAGUCUGAAUCACAGCUAACCAGAGGUAGAUCAAGGACCUGGACAAAGGACCAUGAGUCUGCCUCAUCACAUCUGAGAAAAGGUCUAAGACCAGUUGAGAGGACAACUACAGAGGAGGACCAGGAGUCUGAA